CCUACGGGUGGCUGCAGUGGGGAAUAUUGCACAAUGGGCGCAAGCCUGAUGCAGCAACGCCGCGUGAGCGAAGAAGGUCUUCGGAUCGUAAAGCUCUGUUGUCGGGGAAGAACAAGUACGGCAGGAAAUGGCCGUACCUUGACGGUACCCGACGAGAAAGCCACGGCUAACUACGUGCCAGCAGCCGCGGUCAUACGUAGGUGACAAGCGUUGUCCGGAAUUAUUGGCCGUAAAGCGCGCGCAGGCUGUCCUUUUAGUCUGAUGUGAAAUCGUGCGGCUUAACCGCUAGCGGUCCUUGGAAACUGGGGGACUUGAGUGCAGGAGAGGAAAACGGUAUUCCACGGGUAGCGGUGAAGUGCGUAGAGCAGUGGGGGAACACCAGUGGCGAAGGCGGCUUUCUGGUCUGUACCUGACGCUGAGGCGCGAAAUCGUGGGGAGCAAAGAGGAUUAGAUACCCGGGUAGUC
rnacentral:rRNA from 1 species